rnacentral:rRNA from 1 species
GACGAACGCUGGCGGCGUGCUUAACACAUGCAAGUCGAACGGAAAGGCCCUGCUUUUGUGGGGUGCUCGAGUGGCGAACGGGUGAGUAACACGUGAGUAACCUGCCCUUGACUUUGGGAUAACUUCAGGAAACUGGGGCUAAUACCGGAUAGGAGCUCCUGCUGCAUGGUGGGGGUUGGAAAGUUUCGGCGGUUGGGGAUGGACUCGCGGCUUAUCAGCUUGUUGGUGGGGUAGUGGCUUACCAAGGCUUUGACGGGUAGCCGGCCUGAGAGGGUGACCGGCCACAUUGGGACUGAGAUACGGCCCAGACUCCUACGGGAGGCAGCAGUGGGGAAUAUUGCACAAUGGGCGGAAGCCUGAUGCAGCAACGCCGCGUGCGGGAUGACGGCCUUCGGGUUGUAAACCGCUUUCGCCUGUGACGAAGCGUGAGUGACGGUAAUGGGUAAAGAAGCACCGGCUAACUACGUGCCAGCAGCCGCGGUGAUACGUAGGGUGCGGGCGUUGUCCGGAUUUAUUGGGCGUAAAGGGCUCGUAGGUGGUUGAUCGCGUCGGAAGUGUAAUCUUGGGGCUUAACCCUGAGCGUGCUUUCGAUACGGGUUGACUUGAGGAAGGUAGGGGAGAAUGGAAUUCCUGGUGGAGCGGUGGAAUGCGCAGAUAUCAGGAGGAACACCAGUGGCGAAGGCGGUUCUCUGGGCCUUUCCUGACGCUGAGGAGCGAAAGCGUGGGGAGCGAACAGGCUUAGAUACCCUGGUAGUCCACGCUGUAAACGGUGGGUACUAGGUGUGGGGUCCAUUCCACGGGUUCCGUGCCGUAGCUAACGCUUUAAGUACCCCGCCUGGGGAGUACGGCCGCAAGGCUAAAACUCAAAGGAAUUGACGGGGCCCCGCACAAGCGGCGGAGCAUGCGGAUUAAUUCGAUGCAACGCGUAGAACCUUACCUGGGUUUGACAUGGAUCGGGAGUGCUCAGAGAUGGGUGUGCCUCUUUUGGGGUCGGUUCACAGGUGGUGCAUGGCUGUCGUCAGCUCGUGUCGUGAGAUGCUGGGUUAAGUCCCGCAACGAGCGCAACCCUUGUUCACUGUUGCCAGCACGUUAUGGUGGGGACUCAGUGGAGACCGCCGGGGUCAACUCGGAGGAAGGUGGGGAUGACGUCAAGUCAUCAUGCCCCUUAUGUCCAGGGCUUCACGCAUGCUACAAUGGCUGGUACAGAGAGUGGCGAGCCUGUGAGGGUGAGCGAAUCUCGGAAAGCCGGUCUCAGUUCGGAUUGGGGUCUGCAACUCGACCUCAUGAAGUCGGAGUCGCUAGUAAUCGCAGAUCAGCAACGCUGCGGUGAAUACGUUCCCGGG